UCCUCCCUCCGACCAGGGUUCUUGCUCUUCACGUUCCACCCACGCCCUGCUACCCCCGGGGCCGCCGCCUCCGCCCCUGGCCCUGAUAUUGGACUGACCCCAUUGCUCUCCCAGAACCACCUCCGAGCCAUUCUCAUCCUCCUGCAGUGAGGCCCUGCCGUCGCCAGGCCUUCCAUUCGCGGUCACCUUGUGGGCGAGGCCCCUGGGCCCCGGGCUGGGGGAGGGGACCACCCCGUUGUGUGACACCUCGUGCUGUUCUGUUCCCAAACCUGUUCCCCCGGCCGUACCUGCCAGAGUGUGCCUACAUUCCCGAUAUCCCACUGGAAAGUGAGCUGCUAGGACGUAGACGGCAUCCGUUCCGUCGCCGAGUGCCGAGUGGGCGGCGACUUGAGGGAAGAAAGCCCGGGAGGGAGACGCCGGGCGACCGCGAAGGGAGAGGUCAAAAUGCCCUGGCUGCUGUUUUCCCUGUUCCCGUGGCCCACUGGAAAAAGAAGCUGAAAUACAGGAUGUAGGUUGUCUAAUGGACCUGGAACGACGGAGGAAGCUGGACUUAGGAUCCAUUUCUGCCUGUCUCCAAAGCCCUGCCUAUACCAAACAUCAGGCCACAGCCCUGUCUCCGUGCUGACUGCCUUUCUGCACUUCCUGCCAGCCACCCUCAUGUCUGGGCUUCUGGGUUUGUGUUCUUUGUCUGGGGCUGUUGAUGGACCACCAGGAGGUCCCUGGGUAUCCUGUCAGUGUUUCCCAGCCACUAGAGGAUGACUUGGGAUGGCAUCCCAGGUUCUGAUACGUACUUAGAAAAUUCUGCACAGGCAGCAGCAGGUAGACACCGAUGUUGAAAUGAAUUGUUUCUAAGCUGACGGCCAAGAAGGAAUUCUUGAAAAGGUUUUGGUGCAAAAAAAAAAAAAAGGUGGUUUUGUUAAAGCAUGGGAACAGGACCUGUAGGCAGAAAGCACUGCACUGAGAUUAUGAAGACUGACUACUAGAAGGUUUUCCAUCCUGUAGAGGGGAGGGUGACCUUAAGGCUCCAGGAAAUUGAGCCUAUAGGUUCCUGGAGGUCCAUUGUUAAACAUGGUGUUUUUCUUGUAAAUCAUUAAGACAGUUAGAAACUGGGCGCCUUGGUGGCUCAGUUGUUUGAGUGCCUGGCUCUUGAUUUUGGCUCAGGUCAUGAUGCCAGGGUCAUGGGAUUGAUCCCUGCCUUGGGGUGCUGGCUGAGCAUGGAGCCUGCUUAAGAUUCUCUCUCCCUCUGACCCUGUCCCCUGCUCACUCUCUCUUUCUUAAAAAACAAACAAACAAAAAAGACAGUUACAAACUCUAGUGGAAGUUUCAUACCCAACAUGACUGUAAAUGAUGUUAUCUGCAUUUCCUUUUGCUUUUGUUUUCCACAUCAACUAACUUUCUUUUCUCCCUGCCUCUGUUCUCAGGCAGUCACCAGUACCUGAGGAAUAGUCUACACAUCUCACCCUAACUGGGGGAUGUUUGUAGCGUGUCUGCUCAAGUGUAACUCCUCUCGCAUUCUGUACAACGCAGUUUCCCAGAGUCUAGAUUAGAAAAGUGAACACAGUGGGGCGCCUGGGUGGCUCAGUUGAUUAAGUGUCUAACUUCAGCCUAGGUCAUGAUCUUGCUGUUCCCGAGUUUGAGCCCCAUGUCCAGUUCUGUGCUGACAGCUCAGAGUCUGGAGCCUAUUUCAGAUUCUGUGUCUUCCUCUCUCUCUGCCCCUCCCCAACUCAUGUUCAGUUUCUCUCUCUCAAAAGUAAAUAAACAUUAAAAAAAUGAAUGCAGGUGCAACAGAAAUUAGCAUUAAGCUUUUUACCCCCCUCUUUUUUUUUUUUGUUUUUUGUUUUUUGCUUCAGCUAUACAGUUUCUUGCAAGGUAAGAAAGAAAUGCAAAGCCGUGUCAGGACAUAGGUUGUCAUGUGUUUUUGUCUUGAGCAAUGUAAAGUUAAAUUGCUUACCUAAGAUAUUUUACAUGAGGGAAAGUUACACAUAGAAUAUCAGCCAUCAUGUUAAAUAAAAUAUGAGAUAGGACUAAAUAACAUUUUACAGAGACCUGGUUUACUCUUUAGAAGAAAAACACACUUCUAUAAUGUAGAGAAUAAUGACAUGCAGGAGGUUUUCCUAGCUGUUCACCUUUUACCUUGCACUGAACCUGUAUUACAUCAUUUUGCUUUAAAAAAAUGGAAAUGGACUAGGUUAGGUAAUUAUUAAUUGGCAACAUGAUACUGAUAUAAAACUGCUUUUGGCCAGAGAUACGAUAAUGGUCAAUUUUGGCAACCUAGAUAAAGGGAGAAGUUAUUAUGUCCCCUUCCCAAAAUCAUUGUGCCAAUCUGUGUUCAGCUCACGAUCUCAAGUAUUUAAAACUUCCGUUUCUAUAAAUAUAAAUAGAAUAACCUUUUAAAAUAGGGUACAAAGUAUAAAUCCAUCUUUUUCUAAUUCAGCAAGCACAUGGGAUAUUCUCACUUCUUUUCAGAAAACUACCUGUAGACACACAGAUAGACACGGGGCACCAAGUUUGAAUGCUACCGGAACAAUUUCCUCACAAAUUAACAUUUUACCAAAUACUAAUAUACAUAAUGUCAAAAGAGGAAGUGCACACUGCUGAAAUCAAAACCGUUUUUAAAACGCAAAUUAUCAGUGUGAUACAUUAUUUUGAACAAAGGAGAAACUGGCAAUAUAUGAAGUUGUGUGCUGUUAGAAGGCCUGUCCCCCUGCUUAAAACAAAUGAGAGAAAGUGACUUUGGAAGCCUGUUAGAUGUAUGUGAAACUUUAAAAGAACUUAGAAAUACACUUUCUGAAUUUGGAAAAAAGGUAAGGUACUGGAAUACUUCCGUUUGGGGUAUAAAUAAAAUUUUGGAAUUUCAAAUAUGUUAGUACAUCUGUUUUUUUCAGCUACUUUAUAGAGUUAUAAGGAAAUAAAACAUUAAAAGCCAGUGGAAGCAUGUACGUAGGGGCCCCAUUUCCCCUUGGUGUGCUAAAAAAACUGCAUUCAACCCUGUCAAUUUGAAGGUCUAAUUGGCUUUGUUAAACGGUUUGUGGGUGGCGGCACAUCGCAUCAGGCAAGGAGAGGGGGCUUCUCUGAGCGAAACAGGAAAAGGUUUUUAAAGGCCAAAGGAGGGGAUUAAAAAGAAAAAGUGUACUAGCAAGGAAUGCGUGUUCAGGCAAAGUUGCCUCUGGGUGGAGGCUGGUGUCCAUCUGGACCUGCUCCGACUGCCCGGGAAGUUCCACUUUGGCCUCGCAGACUCCCGCGGUGGCUGUCCUUUGAGCGCCCGCGCCGAGUCCCCCUAAAGCGGCACUGCGAAGGCGGAGAGUGGCCCACGCGGGGACACUCAGGAGCGAGGCUCUGCGUUCCCUGCCUGAGAGGAGCCUCCAGGAGGCGGGGCGCAGCUCCUCCCCAGCCCAUAGCCGUCAGUGCGCCUGUCCCCAGUGGUCGCUCUCCAGGGUCCCCCAGCUGGCGCAAAGUGCACGCGCCCCCUGCUGGCCGCAGGGAGCAGCGCAGGGGCUCAGAGCUUCCCGUUUAGUGUUUCCUGGCACCCCUCCUGGUCUUCGUGGGUGUGGAUGUUAAUGAAAUGCACCCGCCGCUCCUGGCUUUGACUGCAAUGCACUCAGAGACCAGGAAUCAAAGCAUAAAGUCAGCUUAUUAAGGCCAACUGCUUUCCCACCCACUAAUAAUUAACGGUUGGAAUUUGAACAUUCAAAAAUGCCAUUUUUAAUAGAUAGGCAUUUGGCAACCUUCAAAUUGAAGUUCCUUUGGCAUGAACCUAACAACGUAUGUAAAAAUCUGCAUUCAGAAACAUCAUAACCCUGCUGAAAGGUCGCAAAUAAAACGGAAAUGCGGAGAUGUUAGUUUUUCAUGAUCCACAGACU